GGAAUACUUCUCAAUUUUGCCAGAAUGUGGCUAUUUCACCUGAUAUUUCCAAGGGGAAUUCUGCUGGGAGGUGGGAUUAUUUUUUUUUAGUUAGUUAUGCACAGCAAUUACUAAGAAGACAGUGGGCAGCAAAUGCUACAUCUAAUGAUGACUCUGCAUUUAGGACACAUUUAGUGAAGUCUCUAUUUUCAUUGGGAAAACAGCUUUGUCUGGAAGGAAAAAUUGCAGAUUUUUGACUUAGUCUUGACCCCACUCAACACCACUAAAAUAACUGUGAUAAAGGAGAGAGUGCUGAGUGGCAUAUUUGGUUAGGAUAGCAUAGCAAAUAUUAUCCUUGUCUUCAGCAGCAAAGCUUUCUGUAUUUGGAAAUGUUUCACUUUUCCUUUCCUGGCCAAUCUCUCUGCAGCGCUUCUUGGUUGGAGUUCCUAUUUGUCAAUUGUCCCAUUUUUGGCUACCAGAGCUCUGAGGUUUCAAGCUGAAGAUGAGAAACUUGCACUUUUGUGGUUUGGGGUGUAAGAAUGUGAAAACCAGGGGAUUUUCACCCUGACCCCAAAUCCCGCAGCGUUCCAGCACGUCUGCUUAUCCCGGCAGUGUUUAUGUCGGAUCUGAGCCACCGAAUACCAGGCUACCUCCUUUUUCUAGCUUUUAUUUUUAUUUUCCUGGUUGGUUCUGCUGCCCGCUGGAUCUUGCAGAGUAACAGUUGAAGACAGAAAUGCCCGAGAGCGAAGAAAGCAGAGAAUUGAAUUGCUGGAGUGACAUUUCUUCCUCUCUCUUCUAUUGAAGAAGAAAUGAAUCCUCUGACAACAGACCAUAGAAGGGAAGUGAUGGAGGCAUAUCCCAAUGACCUGCUUGCCGUUCAACACCUUGCUCUGGCUCUUUGCCUUGCCUUACAGAGGCACUCAGUGCUGGAUUCCUCCUUUCCUGGAUUCCCAGGGCAUAAUUACUCCAUUCCUUUGAUGGCAAUAACCUGAACUUUGAAAUAUGGGAAAAUGAAUCAGACAGGAGAUGGAUGAAGUCAUUUUCUAGAAGCUGCUCAGACUGUAUUCCCAUCCAAAACAAGAGCUAUUGAUGGUCUUGGUGACCACAACCAUCAUCUCACACUAAUUACUCUCAAUUGCUCCUACAUCAUGGACAGAAAUGUCUGAGUGAGGAAAGGGCCACAUCCAAAGGGGCAGGGUCUGAGGAGUUAACUAUCACCCUAUUUACUCCCCUGUGACAUCCCAUUGCCCUGGGUGGUUGGGGUCACCUCCAUGGGUGGGAUUUUUCCAUAACUCAGGGAGCUGGGAUGUAGAUUUUUGGUAAUGGAUGUUUUAGUUUCAAUAUCCACCAAUGAAAUGAGAUUUUUUUCCUGUGCCUAAAGUCUUUGGAUUGAUUUUGCUGAGACACUUGGGCUCCAGUCCUUCCCGGAGUAAUCACUGAAUCAUUAAGGUUGGAAAAGACCUCUGAGAUCACCCAUCCAACCCCAGCCCACCCCACCAUGCCCACCGCCCUCAUCCCUCAGUGCCACAUCCCCAUGGUUCUAGAACAUCUCCAUGGACAGUGACCCCACCAUUCCCUGGGCAGUGUGUACCAAUGCACCACCACUCUUUGGAAGAAUAAAAUGUACCUAAUAUCCAGUCUGAACCUCCUCUGGAUUAUUUUUUCUUGCGAGACAGCAGGCAGUAAGACUGUAUAUGCUAGAUAUUUUUUAGUUUGUUUGUUUGUUUGUUUUACAAUAGAAUGUGAAUGAAGUCCCUCUCCAUGCUUCAACUCUCUGUUCCAGAGCUUUGCUGGGUGCACAUGGUGUUAAUUCAGCCUUGAGAUGAUGUGUAGAUGACACCUCAGUGGGGUAAGGUCCAAGAUGAGCAUCCCACAGUGCUGGAUGGAAUAAGGGCCUGAGGGAAGGGGAGGCCUUGCCAGUAAUAAAGAGCCCUGAUAGCAAAUGGGAAGGUUACCUGGCAACAUUCCUGUCCAAUUAAAGCAAAUUUAUUGUCAAGUUGCUUCCUUAUUGCUGCCCUGUUAUUAAUUGUUAAUGUGGUGCUGCACUCUGUAUAGGGUGCUGCAAAAGGCUGAGAUCAGGGGGUCUGAAAGGACAUUUUCUGUGCAAAGAAUCAUGAGUGCUCAUUGCUGGCUCUGCUCUGCAGGCUCUGGCAAGGAAAUUCCUGCUCUUGGAACAAGAGGGCAAACGGGUGGCAAAGAAAAAUAAAAUGCGUGGGGUCACUGGGUUCCUAAAUUAUAGUGCUGUGUGCAUGUGAAAUGCUUACAGAAAAAGAGACACCAGGAGAAUGGAAAUUUGCAGAACACCGUUUGGGAAUCUUGAGCUGUUUUCUCUAUAAAUAGAAUUCUCUGCUUCACACUGAAAUGAGACAGUGCCGUAUCCUUGGGUUCUCACUGGGCGCUUUGCUGUGCUCAGCCUGAUCUGAUCGGUCCCCCACCCUGACUGCAUGGAACCGGUGAGGCUGAGUUAUCAGGAGAUGGGCAGAUCUCAGCCAAGAAAGACAAACAUAAAUAAAAGAAGUUUGAAUUGGAGCAGAACUCAGCAUAGAAUCAUAGAACAUCUUGAGUUGGAAGGGGCUCUUAAGGAUCAUUGAGUCCAACUGCUGGCAUAUGGAGAUGAUUGACAUAAUUCAUGCAUUCAAACCCAACAGCGUUGAGCAAACACAGCUUUUGCUUUUUGUUAUCUUCUCCUUUCUGCGUGGAAGAGGAAAACCUCCAUUUCCAAACCCUCUUCAGCAAAACCCAAAUGUUUUUGCAUUCAGGAUGAAAGCAGCUUUCACCAAGCUAUGUGCUGCACAUGGGAGAGACCCCAGAGCUGCCCCACCAGUUCCUGGGCUUCAAUGCCUCCUUAGUUAGGUGGUGCUCUGGGCUGUGCUGCCCACUAAAGUUCCAUUUAUAGACAUUUUACAACGUGCUAAUAAAUUUACAAAGUGUUAAUAAACAGGGAUAAUUGUUUGUUAGUGUUUCUGAAAGAAUCCAACAGGGCAAAAACUCCCUAUAAAGGAUCUCUAAUGCUGCUCCUCGAUGAGCGUAUAAAACAUGUCCAACACAGACACGUCUGUGGUGCGGGCAGAACAUCUUUUAGCCAUUAACUCCUUGUAGCCCAGAUAAAAGCAGGACUUUCCAAGAAGUGUGGUUUUCUAAUUCUGUGCUACAUUCAUAUGGUAAGAAUUCAGUUUUAAAGAACUAUUUUUUUUUUUUUUAUGAAGAUGAAUGGUAUUCAGUGCCCAACAGAGACUCACUUGUGCCAGAGUCAUCAAAUGCCUUCCCAAAAACACAAGUGACAUCUUGGAUUACAGUGAUCCCUUUGCAACAGGACAGAUUUUUAGUUCAAUGCAUGCUACGUUCCCACGUUUGCCAUGCAUGGGUCUGCCUGAACCAGGAACCACGCACAUUUCUGAGCCCCGCUGUAGCAACAGAGAAUAUAAUUAAUUGCCUAAACAGGGCAACAUGCUUAACUAAAAGUUGGCAAGCUCACAUCUCCAGCCCUGCACUGAAUGCAUCAAUUCUGCUCUUACCAGAGGAGGACCCAGGAGAGCAGCCAUCCUCUUGCUGCAGACCACGCGCUGUGUUUCUGCCUUGGAGAGCACAGGGGGCAGAGCAGAGCCUUCUUCCCACCCCAUCCACACAGCACUAUCCUGAACACAGAGGAUGGGUUGCAGAGGGCAGAACCUGUUUUCAGCCUGAGAUAACCUACAAAUCUCCUGGGAUUCAAAAGGAAAACCCACGAACCUUUGUAUCUGCAAGACUUUUUGGGGUGAGAUCUUGGCCUCCUUGAAUACAAAGGGGAACUCCCUUUGAUUUACACAGUUCUUGGCUUGUUGCCUUCAGCCCCGAGCUUUGCUGGAUUGCAAAACUUGUAUCACCUUUCCAUAGUGGAGAAGAAAACCAUCCCAGACAGAGCAUUGCUGCAAACCAAAGGUUGUGCAAAGCCAUGGGUUUGGAAAGAGGCUGUCGGUAUCUUCUUUGCAUGAACAGAACUCUCAGCAUUUCCACAGGUGCUGCAGAUACAGCAGGGCCGUCCUGCUGCCUUCCUGCACAGCACCAAGUGUUUCUUCCCAGCUGGUGAUAUCAUGUCAGCUAAUGGGCUUUAAUUGUGCCACCCCACUUAGCAACAAUAAGCUGAAAGCUCAUUAUGUGCUGUCCUUGUGGCUUCUACGAGCAGCCCAAAGCCUCUCCAAUGGUCAGAGCUCUUCCCGAGAGCACAGCAGCAGCAACACAGAGUGGGGACGAGGAGUUCAGAUUGGAUAUUAGGAAAGGUUUCUUCUCAGAAGGAGCAGUGAUGCACUGGCACAGGCUGCCCAGGGAGGUGGUAGAGUCGCCACCACUGAAGGUGUUCAUGAAACAUGGAGAUGUGGCACUGAGGGACAUGGUCAAUGGGCGUGGAGUUGACUCGGUGAUCUUAGAGGUCUUUUCCAACGUUAAUGAUUCUAUUAUCCAAACUGUGUCAGUGACAGCCUACUGUCUGCCUGCAUUUGCUUACAUAACCUGCCAGUCACCCCAAAGCUAAUGCUUCAGACAGCAGUAAAUGAAUACAAAGCCACCCAUUUAAAUAUCCAAUAGGAGAAAGCAGAAUGGAUUGUUCUGUGCUUACGAGACUAAUUGGAUUUGGGAGAAAAAAUUUAAUGAUUUGGUGGUAAUGAGUUACUGGAUGGCUGAUUCCAGCAGAAAGUCCAACAGUGGCAUCAUGCCAAUGGGAGCACAGUCAGCAAGUGAGAUCUCUCUUGGAGUCUAACAGGGAACCAGUGAUAGGUCUUGAGCAUGGAAUAGAGCUCCAGGGCUUCUUCUGAUCUCAUUUCAUGCCUCUAUAACUCCUUGGCCCUGAUUUACACUGAUAUCACUGAGACUCCAAUUGGACCUUAAUUUUUUUAUAUACAGCAUUUCCUAAAGCUGUGGAGCACUCCUGUGGACCUGUUACAUCAGUGAAGAUGAUAUAUCCAGUUGUUAUCUCUCAUCUGCAAACAGCUCCAGUUUGACAUAUUAUAUCCUCUGGGCGCUGGGGAGCAGCAGAGAAAUCAGCAUUACCGAAGUGAAAGUGCCCUGCUAGAUCUGCAAACAGCUCUGCAUCCGUAACCCUUGCUGCUGUCCUGAUGUGACUCACAGAUACCGAGAAUUUUUGCUAAGCUGCAAAACUGCUCAGAGCACAAAACUCCAAGUGGUUUUCCUCCUGCUGCUUCCAGGGGUAGCAGCACCUCCAGGUCUUGGUGCUUUAGCAUGGGACAGAGGACGGUUGACCAAGGUCUUCCACACCUCCAUGGGAGCUAUUUUCAGCUCUCACUGCUGGAGGACAUGCAUUUCCUGGCAUUUUUUGGAUGAAUUUUGCUCUGUUGACCUUGCCCUCACUUGCCGGACCACUCGUCUUGUUGGACUCUUUGUCCAAGUUUGAAGUCUUGACCCAUGGUCUGACCCAGUGAAAGGGAUCCCAGACACAUUCAGCCUGACGUCAACAAGCCCUUCUUCCAGGCACCCAUUCCCUUUCCAGAAGUGCCUUCCAGGCACUUCACCCUCCCCGUGUCUCCUAAGAAAGCCUCCACCACACUGCUGGUCACACCCCCAGGUCUCCUUCAUCUUCCCAUGGUGAUGCUCUGGGUGCACCUCUGCUCCCUGCUUCCAGCCUCUGAGACAACAGAGACUGGAAAACACACAAUUCAUGUGCAAAAUCUUGUAACACAGAAUCUCCCUGGGAGUGAGAGCCAUCUGAGCUAGCUUCAAUCUCUAAAUGUCACCUUAACUCCCUGAUUAGCCUGUAGGGACCAGCAGGCACCUCCAGACAGGGACUUGUCUGCCCAGCCUGGAAGGACUUGCCAGGAGAUGAAUUGCCUUUUAGAAGAGCUCCACUGCCUUCAGAGGGAACUGCUCAACAUUUCUUUUUUCAUUGGCUCCAAUUAAUCUCCCUGCAGACGCCACAGGGAAUGGGAAUCCCUGUUCUUCCUCUUAAGAUGUGGGAACACUCUGGGUGGAAACUGCAGCAGUGGCCAAAGUCACCUGGAGGAGCACGUGUUGCUGUGCUGGGUUUGCUGAUGGGCUCUUCGUCCUGAAAAUAAAAAGUCUGUGAAAAAUCCCCCCUUCUGGCAGCUGUCGCAGGAGGAGCUGCAAGACGAGGGCUCACACUGCUGGGUUUUGCUGCCUUACAUGGAACACACUGCGCAAGACAGCGAUGGGACUGAGCUUCGUACGUUUCCAAAUCAGUCUAAAUAAGUUCUGAUAGCAAAUUCAAGUGAGAUGACACUUUAACUGGAAAUAACAGCAGCAGAGAAAUCAACAGACUUCAGGCCUUGGAGUCUGUUCCUUCCCUUCCAUCAGAUCCAGCACAUCCGUCUCAAACUGAAGCAGACACUGCUUUUCUUUUUUAUCCCAGAAGACACCACAAACAGUUUCUGUUUCAAAUUACAAAGUUCUAAACGAAACCUCAUCACACUGAUGGUUGUUACUAAUUAUGCUACCCUACACAAUGCUGCAAUCAUAUGUGAAUUCAGCCCCACGUCCAGGGUGGUCAUUCAAGCUUGGGAUGCCAGGACUGCAUUGCAGAAAAUGGACCCAACAGCCCAUUGAGAAAGGAUGCACGGAGGUUUUCCAGGUGGGGAGCUGCUGCAAUGGAAGUUACUAAGGAUACAAUGCAAAGGAGCCUUCAGGCACCUGAUGUGGUGCCCAGGAUCACGUUGUGUUUAUAGAGGACUCCCUGUAUAGAGGACUCUGUGCCACACCACGUGUCUGCAGAUGCUCAGAGAAGAGCUGAGAUCCCUCCCAGGUGUCCUUAUAUCUCAGUAGGGAAAAUUAAUUUGAAAAUAACCGCCUUCUUAAUGCUCCAAAGCCUCGUUUCUUCUGCAGCUUGCACGUGCAAAGGGAAACCACCAAAGCUCUGGAGAAUCUCUCUGCUUCCAUGCAGGUAUGGUGAGGUCCCUGUGACCCCAAAUCCAUGCUCUGUGGACGGCCAGACGUCCUUAUCCCCUCCCUGGCCUCACAAUAUUGCAGGGACACAUCCCCUGCAGCACUCUGUCCUGCUGUGUGACCUCUGGGCUGGCCAAAGGGUGACUGAAGCAGGGAAGGAGAAAUGCUUUCCCCCAUCUGUGGGGUGUACUUGUAACCCCACUCCUAAGGAUCUCCCUUGCAAAUUCAUCUCUGGAACUCAGCUGCAGUUCUGCUCCUUCAAACGCUGCCAGGAAAUGCAUCCCUCGAGCACGUUGCAGUUGGUGUGCUGGGACAAGAAGGUUGCCUGGGUGAAAAGGAAGACAAGGAGGCACUUCUACAGCCUGGCUAACCACAGACACUAUGUUGGUGUGGACGGAGGAAGGGCUGGGGGCUCAGAUUGUCUUUUGAGAACUUGCCAGGGAGUUCAGGGACCCACGUGCUGUCCCUGGGGCUGGUGACAUCUCACAGAGCUUGUGCCAGGAAGAUGUGGAUCACAAUGGGACAGACAGGCAGAAACGACUGGGCGGAAUGUGUCAGAGGAUGCCCCUGCCAUCACAACCCAGCAGUGUGAACUUCCCAGACUCGUCCAUGGAGAGCAGCCCAUGAGAGCUGCCAGGGCUGGUGUGGUGGGACCAGGGCCAGGUUUCACACCUCAGAUGGCUGCAAUGUCUUCGUGGGCCCCACUGCCAGAGGAUCUGUGAGGCACUCGUUGGGAUGGGAGCAGCCUUGCUGGGAAUCUUCCCAUCUUCAUGACGGUGGCCAAAGCACUGAAGGAUCCAUCUACAAGGGAAACCCCUCCAGGAGUUCCCAGACCUGUGGCAAGGGACUCAGCAGUGGUGCUCUUCAAAGCGAUGCUGGAGGUACAGAAAGGCAGUGCUGGAGAUGCAGAAGCUGCACAGGGAUCAGCAGGGGGAUGUGCAGCAUGGGGGCUGUCGUUGGCCCCAAAACUGCUGCCUUCUGCAUGGAGAACAUCCAAUGCAGCAGCAAAAAGGGGCUGAUGCAAACCCCAUCAUUCUCACCCAAGGCCAGAAAAGAGCUGUGAUUUAAUGCAUCUCUGGGUUCCUCCUCCUGCUGCUCUCACCCCAGUGCUCCCCUGGAUGCUCCAUUGGGAUUCUUGGGAGAGGGAGAAGGUGAGCCGAAAUAAAUCCCUGCCCCAGGGAUGUGGGGUGCAGGAGCUGCUCG
ensembl:lncRNA